AGGAAGUAGGAAGCAAAAUGGUCCGUGUGGAACACGCCCUCCCUGACCACCAGACCUGAGCUUCUCAAUUCUCUACUGUGAAGUAAGCCACGCCCGCCAAACCACAAGGAGAGGCACUAAUUAACCAAAAAUAAAAUACUUUAAGAAAUGUAGCUGGAAAAUAGCAAACGGUUCCAGCAACCAGAGGCUAAGAAACAGGGAUCAAGGAAAUUGAACUUCUUGGCGGCAAGAAGCUUUUCUUGUUGAGCCAUCUCACCAACCUGAGAGUCAUUAAGUAA